UUAUGUCCCACCUUCACUUCCCCAAACAGGAAAAGAAGUAGAUAAAGCCUUUACUUAAGAUGGUCUGAAAAGGCUUGAAAAUACUCAAUGCCACCACUUUUUCUGAAAAGUGUCUCAGAUCUUUACUCAGUGAGUGAAGGUUGGGAGAGGAGUACUAUUCUAAACAAGCAAACAAACAAAUCUUUAUGUCAACAGAGCCUCUGCUUUUUCAACUGGGGCUUUUAAGAACAAAAUGUCACUUUUUGGAAAAAGCUAAACAUGAAUGUUAACAGUA